CUGGAGACAAAGAGGAGAAGGAUAUACUGUAGUGAUAUACUGUAGUGAUAUACUGUAGUGAUAUACUGUAGUGAGGAGGAGGAUAUACUGUAGUGAUAUACUGUAGUGGAGAGGAUGAGGAUAUACUGUAGUGAUAUACUGUCGUGUUGAGGAUAUACUGUAGUGAUAUACUGUGAGGAGGAUAUAAUGUAGUGAUAUACUGUAGUGAUAUACUGUAGUGGAGAGGAGGAGGAUAUAAUGUAGUGAUAUACUGUCGUGUUGAGGAUAUACUGUAGUGAUAUUGUCGUGUUGAGGAUAUACUGUAGUGAUAUACUGUGAGGAGGAUAUAAUGUAGUGAUAUACUGUCGUGUUGAGGAUAUACUGUAGUGAUAUACUGUAAGGAGGAUAUAAUGUAGUGAUAUACUGUAGUGAUAUACUGUAGUGGAGAGGAUGAGGAUAUACUGUAGUGAUAUACUGUCGUGUUGAGGAUAUACUGUAGUGAUAUACUGUAGUGAUAUACUGUGAGGAGGAUAUAAUGUAGUGAUAUACUGUAGUGAUAUACUGUAGAGGAG
ensembl:lncRNA